rnacentral:rRNA from 1 species
CCUACGGGAGGCUGCAGUGAGGAAUAUUGGUCAAUGGACGCAAGUCUGAACCAGCCAUGCCGCGUGCAGGAAGACGGCUCUAUGAGUUGUAAACUGCUUUUGUACGCGGGUAAACGCAGAUACGCGUCUCUGUCUGCAAGUCUCGUACGAAUAAGGAUCGGCUAACUCCGUGCCAGCCGCCGCGGUAAUACGGAGGAUUCAAGCGUUAUCCGGAUUUAGUGGGUUUAAAGGGUGCGUAGUCGGUCGGAGAAGUUAGAGGUGAAAUCCCGAGGCGCAACUUCGGAAUUGCCUCUGAUACUGUGCGGCUAGAGAGUAGUUGCGGUAGGCGGAAUGUAUGGUGUAGCGGUGAAAUGCUUAGAGAUCAGACAGAACACCGAUUGCGAAGGCAGCUUACCAAGCUACUGCUGACGUUGAGGCACGAAAGCGUGGGGAGCAAACAGGAGUAGAUACCCCUGUAGUC